rnacentral:lncRNA from 1 species
UUUCAUCUCAUCUCAUUUCGAUUUUAUUUCAAUUUCAUUUCACUAUUUCAUUUCAUCUCAUCAUUUCAUCUCACCAUUUCAUUUCAUCAUCUCAUCUCAUCAUUUCAUUUCAUCAUUCAUCUCAUCAUCUCAUCAUUCAUCUCAUCAUUUCAUAUCAUCAUUUUAUCUCAUCUAUCAUUUCAUCUCAUUUCAUCUCAUCCCAUUCCAUCAUUACAUCUCAUUUCAUCUCAUUUUAUGUCAUCAUUUCAUGUCAUCAUUUCAUCACAUCUCAUCAUUUCAUCUCAUCAUUUCAUCAUUUCAUCUCAUUUCAACUCAUUGCAUCUCAGCUCAUCAUUUCCAUUUCAUUAUUCCAUUUCAUCAUUUCAUUCAUUAUGUCAUUUCAUCUCAUCAUAUUUCAUCUCAUCUCAUCAUUUCAUCUCAUUUUAUCUCAUCUCAUCAUUUCAUCAUUUCAUCUCAUCAUUUCUUCUCAU